rnacentral:rRNA from 1 species
GAGUUGANGGAGCUUGCUUUUUUCAACUCAGUGGCGGACGGGUGAGUAACGCGUGAGUAACCUGCCUUUCAGAGGGGGAUAACGUUCUGAAAAGAACGCUAAUACCGCAUAAGAUUGUAGUUUCGCAUGGGACAGCAAUCAAAGGAGCAAUCCGCUGAAAGAUGGACUCGCGUCCGAUUAGAUAGUUGGCGGGGUAACGGCCCACCAAGUCGACGAUCGGUAGCCGGACUGAGAGGUUGAUCGGCCACAUUGGGACUGAGACACGGCCCAGACUCCUACGGGAGGCAGCAGUGAGGGAUAUUGGGCAAUGGGGGAAACCCUGACCCAGCAACGCCGCGUGAGGGAUGACGGUUUUCGGAUUGUAAACCUCUGUCCUCUGUGAAGAUAGUGACGGUAGCAGAGGAGGAAGCUCCGGCUAACUACGUGCCAGCAGCCGCGGUAAUACGUAGGGAGCGAGCGUUGUCCGGAUUUACUGGGUGUAAAGGGUGCGUAGGCGGAUUGGCAAGUCAGAAGUGAAAUCCAUGGGCUUAACCCAUGAACUGCUUUUGAAACUGUUAGUCUUGAGUGAAGUAGAGGUAGGCGGAAUUCCCGGUGUAGCGGUGAAAUGCGUAGAGAUCGGGAGGAACACCAGUGGCGAAGGCGGCCUACUGGGCUUUAACUGACGCUGAGGCACGAAAGUGUGGGUAGCAAACAGGAUUAGAUACCCUGGUAGUCCACACUGUAAACGAUGAUUACUAGGUGUGGGGGGUCUAACCCCCUCCGUGCCGGAGUUAACACAAUAAGUAAUCCACCUGGGGAGUACGACCGCAAGGUUGAAACUCAAAGGAAUUGACGGGGGCCCGCACAAGCAGUGG